rnacentral:rRNA from 1 species
CGGCAGCCCGAGUGGUGAUCACUAUUAUUGGGUCUAAAGGGUCCGUAGCCGGUUUGAUCAGUCUUUUGGGAAAUCUGACAGCUUAACUGUUAGGCUUCCAAAGGAUACUGUCAGACUUGGGACCGGGAGAGGUAAGAGGUACUACAGGGGUAGGAGUGAAAUCUUGUAAUCCCUGUGGGACCACCAGUGGCGAAGGCGUCUUACCAGAACGGGUCCGACGGUGAGGGACGAAAGCUGGGGGCACGAACCGGAUUAGAUACCCGCGUAGUCC